rnacentral:rRNA from 1 species
UACGUAGGGGGCAAGCGUUGUCCGGAAUCAUUGGGCGUAAAGCGCGUGUAGGCGGCUCGGUAAGUCUGCUCUGAAAGUCCAAGGCUCAACCUUGGGAUGCGGGUGGAUACUGCUGGGCUCGAGUCCGGAAGAGGCGAGUGGAAUUCCUGGUGUAGCGGUGAAAUGCGCAGAUAUCAGGAGGAACACCGGUGGCGAAGGCGGAUCUCUGGGCCUUGCCUGACGCUGAGGCGCGAAAGCUAGGGGAGCGAACAGG